AGUGAACGCUGGCGGUAGGCCUAACACAUGCAAGUCGAACGGCAGCACAGAGGAGCUUGCUCCGUGGGUGGCGAGUGGCGGACGGGUGAGGAAUACAUCGGAAUCUACUCUGUCGUGGGGGAUAACGUAGGGAAACUUACGCUACUACCGCAUACGACCUACGGGGGAAAGCAGGGGAUCUUCGGACCUUGCUCGAUUGCAUUAGCCGAUGUCGGCUUAGCUAGUUGGCGGGGUAAAGGCCCACCAAGGCGCCGAUCCGUAGCUGGUCUGAGGGGAUGAUCAGCCACACUGGAACUGAGACACGGUCCAGACUCCUACGGGAGGCAGCAGUGGGGAAUAUUAGACAAUGGGCGCAAGCCUGAUCCAGCCAUACCGCGUGGGUGAAGAAGGCCUUCGGGUUGUAAAGCCCUUUUGUUGGGAAAGAAAUCCAUCUGGUUAAUACCCGGGUGGGAUGACGGUACCCAAAGAAUAAGCACCGGCUAACUUCGUGCCAGCCGCCGCCGUAA
rnacentral:rRNA from 1 species